rnacentral:rRNA from 1 species
GAUGAACGCUGGCGGCGUGCCUAAUACAUGCAAGCCGAGCGAACGGACGAGAAGCUUGCUUCUCUGAUGUUAGCGGCGGACGGGUGAGUAACACGUGGAUAACCUACCUAUAAGACUGGGAUAACGUCGGGAAACCGGAGCUAAUACCGGAUGAUAUUUUGAACCGCAUGGUUCAAAAGUGAAAGACGGUCUUGCUGUCACUUAUAGAUGGAUCCGCGCUGCAUUAGCUAGUUGGUAAGGUAACGGCUUACCAAGGCAACGAUGCAUAGCCGACCUGAGAGGGUGAUCGGCCACACUGGAACUGAGACACGGUCCAGACUCCUACGGGAGGCAGCAGUAGGGAAUCUUCCGCAAUGGGCGAAAGCCUGACGGAGCAACGCCGCGUGAGUGAUGAAGGUCUUCGGAUCGUAAAACUCUGUUAUUAGGGAAGAACAUAUGUGUAAGUAACUGUGCACAUCUUGACGGUACCUAAUCAGAAAGCCACGGCUAACUACGUG